AUACAUCAAUAGAUUUACACCACUAAGCAAAUUAUACAUCAAACUGGUUACUGACAUAUCCACACGAGAAUUUGCACAACCUUGAAUAUGGGUUCAUCUAUCAACUGACCAGGGAAAAUUCCAAAGAAGAUUGUGAAAAUAUUGAAUUAAGUGAAAAUGCUCAAUCAGAUAUUGAAUUUACUGAUGGUUAUCCAAAGGAUACUGGCAGUGAAGUGCACAGUAAUGCCACAGUAACAAGCAUUAUGGAUAAUAUUAGUUGUAUUGCUACAAGUGUUAGUCGUACUACAACUACUAUGACUGCUAGACCUA